rnacentral:rRNA from 1 species
AAUCAACGCUGGCGGCGUGCCUCAGACAUGCAAGUCGAACGAUUAAAGCUCUCUUCGGAGAGUGCAUAAAGUGGCGCACGGGUGAGUAACACGUAAGUAAUCUACCCUCGAGUGGGGAAUAACGUCCGGAAACGGACGCUAAUACCGCAUAAUGCAGCGGCAUCGCAAGAUGACAGUUGUUAAAGAUUUAUCGCUUGAAGAGGAGCUUGCGGCAGAUAGCUAGUUGGUAAGGUAAUGGCUUACCAAGGCUACGAUCUGUAACCGGUCUAAGAGGACGGUCGGUCACACUGACACUGAAUAACGGGUCAGACUCCUACGGGAGGCAGCAGUCGGGAAUUUUGGGCAAUGGGCGAAAGCCUGACCCAGCAACGCCGCGUGAAGGAUGAAGUA